AUUGAACGCUGGCGGCAGGCCUAACACAUGCAAGUCGAAUGGUAACAGGAAACAGCUUGCUGUUUCUCUGACGAGUGGCGGACGGGUGAGUAAUGUCUGGGAAACUGCCUGAUGGAGGGGGAUAACUACUGGAAACGGUAGCUAAUACCGCAUAACGUCGCAAGACCAAAGAGGGGGACCUUCGGGCCUCUUGCCAUCAGAUGUGCCCAGAUGGGAUUAGCUAGUAGGUGGGGUAACGGCUCACCUAGGCGACGAUCCCUAGCUGGUCUGAGAGGAUGACCAGCCACACUGGAACUGAGACACGGUCCAGACUCCUACGGGAGGCAGCAGUGGGGAAUAUUGCACAAUGGGCGCAAGCCUGAUGCAGCCAUGCCGCGUGUAUGAAGAAGGCCUUCGGGUUGUAAAGUACUUUCAGCGGGGAGGAAGGGAGUAAAGUUAAUACCUUUGCUCAUUGACGUUACCCGCAGAAGAAGCACCGGCUAACUCCGUG
rnacentral:rRNA from 1 species